UACGUAGGUGGCAAGCGUUGUCCGGAUUUAUUGGGUUUAAAGGGUGCGUAGGCGGUCUAUUAAGUCAGCGGUGAAAUACUCCAGCUUAACUGGAGGGGUGCCAUUGAUACUGAUGGACUUGAGUCAAGUCGAGGUAGGCGGAAUUGACGGUGUAGCGGUGAAAUGCUUAGAUAUCGUCAAGAACACCAAUAGUGAAGACAGCUUACUGGGCUUAAACUGACGCUGAGGCACGAAA
rnacentral:rRNA from 1 species